AGAAAAAUUACAUUCAGAAUCGAGUAGUUUAACACUACAAGUAGAUAAUAAAUUCAUUAAGCAGGAAAAUUAUGCAUAUUAAAUCCAAUGCAGUGAGUCAAUCUCAAUAUCCACAUAAUUUAUACAAUUCAGUGAUCUGACAAAAGAACUUUUCAGCAAAAAUCGUAAUCAUGAUUUAUAGUGCCAGGGUUAAACAAAGAAUCACAAAGAUCUCAUUAGGAGAAUACCAUAGCAUGAAUUACAAAAGAAUUCAACUACUAAAAAAUUUAAGGAAAGUUAAUAUGUUGGAGCAGUGAGAAAUAUUUCAGAUUUGCUGAUAGGCAAUGCAGAUCACAGCAACAGCAUCAUGUAGUACCAAAUUUAUCCAUUAAAAAAAGAUAAAUCCGUGCAUCAGUAUCACUAAGAAGUUAAAACCAAGGAGAUUCAAGGAAUAGAAGAUCUACAAAUAUCACAAUCUCUAAAUGCUAAAUCAGGAUAUUAAAUACCUGUAGAAGUCUCCAUGGAG
rnacentral:misc_RNA from 1 species